rnacentral:rRNA from 1 species
UACGGAGGGUGCGAGCGUUGUUCGGAAUUACUGGGCGUAAAGCGCACGUAGGCGGCUUUGUAAGUCAGAGGUGAAAGCCUGGAGCUCAACUCCAGAACUGCCUUUGAGACUGCAUCGCUCGAAUCCGAGAGAGGUGAGUGGAAUUCCGAGUGUAGAGGUGAAAUUCGUAGAUAUUCGGAAGAACACCAGUGGCGAAGGCGGCUCACUGGACCGGUAUUGACGCUGAGGUGCGAAAGCGUGGGGAGCAAACAGG